UACGUAGGGGGGCAAGCGUUGUCCCGGAUUUAUUGGGCGUAAAGAGCGUGUAGGCGGCCAUACAGGUCCGUUGUGAAAAACUGGAGGCUUACCUCCAGACGUCGAUGGAAACCGUAUGGCUAGAGUCCGGAAGAGGAGAGUGGAAUUCCUGGUGUAGCGGUGAAAUGCGUAGAGAUCAUGAGGAAGACCAGUGGCGAAGGCGGGUCUCUGGACAGUUCCUGACACUGAGACACGAAGGCCAGGGGGAGCAAACGGG
rnacentral:rRNA from 1 species